rnacentral:tRNA from 1 species
GCCCAGUUAGCUCAGCAGGCCAGAGCACCUCCAUGGUAAGGAGGGGGUCGUCGGUUCGAAUCCGACACUGGGCU